CCGUUCUCAACGGGGUGCCGGUUAACUGGCUGAGAGAGACCCGUCGAACCUGAUCCGGCUGAUACCGGCGUAGGGAUUUGAGAUGCCUGCUGCU
rnacentral:ncRNA from 1 species